rnacentral:rRNA from 1 species
AGCGAACGCUGGCGGCAGGCUUAACACAUGCAAGUCGAGCGCCCCGCAAGGGGAGCGGCAGACGUGAGAGUAACACGUGGGAACAUACCUUUUGGUUCGGAACAACUUAGGGAUACUUCAGCUAAUACCGGAUAAGCCCUUACGGGGAAAGAUUUAUCGCCGACAGAUUGGCCCGCGUCUGAUUAGCUAGUUGGUGAGGUAACGGCUCACCAAGGCGACGAUCAGUAGCUGGGCAGAGAGGAUGAGCAGCCCCACUGGAACUGAGACACGGCCCAGACUCCUACGGGAAGCAGCAGUGGGGAAUAUUGGACAAUGGGGGCAGCCCUAAUCCAGCCAUGCCGCGUGAGUGAUGAAGGCCUUAGGGGUGUAAAGCCCUUUUGCCCGGGAAGAUUAUGACGGUACCGGGAGGAUAAAGCCCGGCUAACUUCGUU